CCAGACAGAUGAUGGAGACGGCAAAGAGGCGCACCGUGUUGAAAUUAAUCUCACACGUGAAGAAGUCCACCACUGGAACACUUAGGACGAUGCCAAGGGAGAUAGAUGUUGGAUAUGUUAUGGCGAUGCCGAAGUUGACCAGGAUGUUGAAAGCUGUUUGAAGAAGCAGAACGAGAGCAAAAGUGAUUAUGUUUGUUCAAUAAAAACUCGAGAUGUGAACUAUGAACUCACCCUGACGCCCAUGAAGCGGUCUCUUAGCACAAUCCAUGAGAGCAGGAAGACGAAGGCCUUGUUACAACAAAAGAGCGCUGACACGUCUGUUGUGUUGAUCUUCCUGAGGGCCUGCAGGUGUGAAUGUGCAGUUGGCUGGCAACCAGUCCUGGGUGUACUCCGCCUUGGCAACCCAAAGACAUUUGAGAAAAAUGGAUUGAUGGGUGCCCGACGUAGUAGAGCGGGAAGAAGAGGCAGUUCCAGGUGGUGGCAAACCAAGUGAGGGUGAAGGGGGCAUCAAAGUGCUUGAAGGUCAGCUUGGCCAGCUGGGUAGAACCUGCCCACGAGGAGCAGACGCACAUCACCAUGGCGACUCCCCACAAGGCUUUCCGCACCUGCACCGCCGUGAUCCGGAUGCAGCAGUGCAGCUUCCGCCUGCUGGAGCUCGAUUCCGGACCCGCCGCGCCCGCCGACGACUGCACGUCUGGGCCGCUGUGCGCCACAUGCUCCCUUGGCCGCUCUUCCCCUGAAAGUUUCAUUGACAGGCGUCUCUCUGGCCCACCCUGCAGUGUCUGCAGUGCAGAUCUCUCCUGCCGAUAGCUGCAAGUCCAACAACGCUGCCAGCAGAGCCGUUCCACUUAGAAGUCCCACCGACAUCUGUCUCCAUCUUUAUUCUAGCUUUGUUCCCUCCCAGGAAAAAAGGUGGAUAUGACUGCAAGGGCGAUAAUAGAAGUUUCAGCUUUUUGUUUUAUGUCAGUCUAUGAGGACUGGUUUUCUACAAGAAGGCACACAUCACAGGAAGACUGAGAUUUAUAUAUUGGCGGAUUCCAUGCCCACAACGUCUCGAUGCCUCAAAAAAAAAACAUGCACAAAUGAGAGUUGAUUGAUGCAGACAUUUGGCUAUGGAAUAAUAAAA